UACGUAGGGGGCAAGCGUUGUCCGGAUUUAUUGGGCGUAAAGAGCGUGUAGGCGGCCAGGUAGGUCCGCUGUGAAAACUCGAGGCUCAACCUCGAGAUGUCGGCGGAAACCAUCUGGCUAGAGUCCGGAAGAGGAGAGUGGAAUUCCUGGUGUAGCGGUGAAAUGCGCAGAUAUCAGGAAGAACACACGUGGCGAAGGCGGCUCUCUGGGACGGUACUGACGCUGAGACGCGAAAGCGUGGGGAGCGAACAGG
rnacentral:rRNA from 1 species